GGGGGAUUUAGCUCAGCGGUUCGGAUACCUGCCUUGCAAGUGCAAGGACCCGAGUUCGAUCCCUGGUACAAAAAAAAAAAAAAUUAUAAUCCUGUAAAAGCAAGUCACCUGGAAAAUAGGAAAAUAGAGUUGUUACAAUGUGGUCUGCAGGAGGCUAAAAGCCAAAUGUUCUCCCUUUUCCCUUUAACCCUGGCCUGCACCUGCUCAUUAGUGGUUUUACGAGAAACACCAGUCCUGACUUCUGGCCCUCACAGCCUAUGAAGUUUAAUCAGAGUUGUACAGACCGGACUACUUCUGUCCCUGAGCUUUGCUGCUUUCUGAGGAAGCUGAGUGCGAUUCAAAUUAGGAAAAGGGAGAGAAUUUUUCAGCUGUCCCUGCUGUCCGUGCUGUCCUACCAUCUCCCACAGUGAUGUCACCGGAGCCUGAGCACCUGAGGCCCUUGCUCCUUCUGCCUUCUGGAGAUCAAUGGAAUUUUACCAAACCCUUGAUCCACUGCGACACAACGACCUUAUCUUUCCUCCCGUGGGGGCCCUCAGCCCAAAGGGGAGACCUUGCAGACAGUGGCCCACAAACAAUGGAACCAACACUGCAGGUGGAAGGAAUCGCCACAAGAUGGCGCACGGCCGAGUUUGCUCAGACAGCUUUCAUGAAAAUUUUUUUAAAAUCACUGAAAAGCACCAUGAGAAAUCAUCAGCCCAGGGACCUCCAGAUAUCUUAUAUUUCUUAUUCAUACCAAUAAAAUUUUUUAUCUUCUUGAUCCCAUUUACUUAU
rnacentral:lncRNA from 1 species